UCCUCCAUAAACCUGGGACCAGAUAUCACUUAACCUACAUGCAAAUACGAGUACAAAUGGGAGACUCCUUUCUAUACCUGCUUUCUCAUGUUAUACACACGUUGCUAGUACACUUCAUUAUUGAUUCCUAAACUCACUACAUAGCAUUGCAGAGCAGCAAUACAUUCAAAAUGAGAAGGAUUCCUGUGUACUGUCAUCAAAGACAUACAAUCCUAUGAUCCCUGUGCAUUGAGACUGUGUCAUUUUUUUUUUUUUCUUGUAAUCAUUAUGUCUGGCAUGAAACAGGCACUCAAUAUAGAUGUUUGUGGAAAUAAAAUGAUGGUAUCAAUUGUUGCUAUUUUUUUAAGUCAGAAGACUCAAGAAGUUAAACAAUUAAAUAAAUGUCUAGGUGAGUUAAGGUAGAGGCAAAGAACCAGAUAUAUCUUGAGCUUGAAAAUCACAGUGGUAAAAUACACAGCAAAAUAA
rnacentral:lncRNA from 1 species